rnacentral:rRNA from 2 species
ACUAAGCGUACACGGUGGAUGCCUUGGCAGUCAGAGGCGAUGAAGGACGUGCUAAUCUGCGAUAAGCGUCGGUAAGGUGAUAUGAACCGUUAUAACCGGCGAUUUCCGAAUGGGGAAACCCAGUGUGAUUCGUCACACUAUCAUUAACUGAAUCCAUAGGUUAAUGAGGCGAACCGGGGGAACUGAAACAUCUAAGUACCCCGAGGAAAAGAAAUCAACCGAGAUUCCCCCAGUAGCGGCGAGCGAACGGGGAGCAGCCCAGAGCCUGAAUCAGUGUGUGUGUUAGUGGAAGCGUCUGGAAAGGCGUGCGAUACAGGGUGACAGCCCCGUACACAAAAAUGCACAUACUGUGAGCUCGAUGAGUAGGGCGGGACACGUGGUAUCCUGUCUGAAUAUGGGGGGACCAUCCUCCAAGGCUAAAUACUCCUGACUGACCGAUAGUGAACCAGUACCGUGAGGGAAAGGCGAAAAGAACCCCGGCGAGGGGAGUGAAAAAGAACCUGAAACCGUGUACGUACAAGCAGUGGGAGCACGCUUAGGCGUGUGACUGCGUACCUUUUGUAUAAUGGGUCAGCGACUUAUAUUCUGUAGCAAGGUUAACCGAAUAGGGGAGCCGAAGGGAAACCGAGUCUUAACUGGGCGUUAAGUUGCAGGGUAUAGACCCGAAACCCGGUGAUCUAGCCAUGGGCAGGUUGAAGGUUGGGUAACACUAACUGGAGGACCGAACCGACUAAUGUUGAAAAAUUAGCGGAUGACUUGUGGCUGGGGGUGAAAGGCCAAUCAAACCGGGAGAUAGCUGGUUCUCCCCGAAAGCUAUUUAGGUAGCGCCUCGUGAAUUCAUCUCCGGGGGUAGAGCACUGUUUCGGCAAGGGGGUCAUCCCGACUUACCAACCCGAUGCAAACUGCGAAUACCGGAGAAUGUUAUCACGGGAGACACACGGCGGGUGCUAACGUCCGUUGUGAAGAGGGAAACAACCCAGACCGCCAGCUAAGGUCCCAAAGUCAUGGUUAAGUGGGAAACGAUGUGGGAAGGCCCAGACAGCCAGGAUGUUGGCUUAGAAGCAGCCAUCAUUUAAAGAAAGCGUAAUAGCUCACUGGUCGAGUCGGCCUGCGCGGAAGAUGUAACGGGGCUAAACCAUGCACCGAAGCUGCGGCAGCGACGCUUAUGCGUUGUUGGGUAGGGGAGCGUUCUGUAAGCCUGUGAAGGUGUGCUGUGAGGUAUGCUGGAGGUAUCAGAAGUGCGAAUGCUGACAUAAGUAACGAUAAAGCGGGUGAAAAGCCCGCUCGCCGGAAGACCAAGGGUUCCUGUCCAACGUUAAUCGGGGCAGGGUGAGUCGACCCCUAAGGCGAGGCCGAAAGGCGUAGUCGAUGGGAAACAGGUUAAUAUUCCUGUACUUGGUGUUACUGCGAAGGGGGGACGGAGAAGGCUAUGUUGGCCGGGCGACGGUUGUCCCGGUUUAAGCGUGUAGGCUGGUUUUCCAGGCAAAUCCGGAAAAUCAAGGCCGAGGCGUGAUGACGAGGCACUACGGUGCUGAAGCAACAAAUGCCCUGCUUCCAGGAAAAGCCUCUAAGCAUCAGGUAACAUCAAAUCGUACCCCAAACCGACACAGGUGGUCAGGUAGAGAAUACCAAGGCGCUUGAGAGAACUCGGGUGAAGGAACUAGGCAAAAUGGUGCCGUAACUUCGGGAGAAGGCACGCUGAUACGUAGGUGAAGCGACUUGCUCGUGGAGCUGAAAUCAGUCGAAGAUACCAGCUGGCUGCAACUGUUUAUUAAAAACACAGCACUGUGCAAACACGAAAGUGGACGUAUACGGUGUGACGCCUGCCCGGUGCCGGAAGGUUAAUUGAUGGGGUUAGCGCAAGCGAAGCUCUUGAUCGAAGCCCCGGUAAACGGCGGCCGUAACUAUAACGGUCCUAAGGUAGCGAAAUUCCUUGUCGGGUAAGUUCCGACCUGCACGAAUGGCGUAAUGAUGGCCAGGCUGUCUCCACCCGAGACUCAGUGAAAUUGAACUCGCUGUGAAGAUGCAGUGUACCCGCGGCAAGACGGAAAGACCCCGUGAACCUUUACUAUAGCUUGACACUGAACAUUGAGCCUUGAUGUGUAGGAUAGGUGGGAGGCUUUGAAGUGUGGACGCCAGUCUGCAUGGAGCCGACCUUGAAAUACCACCCUUUAAUGUUUGAUGUUCUAACGUGGACCCGUGAUCCGGGUUGCGGACAGUGUCUGGUGGGUAGUUUGACUGGGGCGGUCUCCUCCUAAAGAGUAACGGAGGAGCACGAAGGUUGGCUAAUCCUGGUCGGACAUCAGGAGGUUAGUGCAAUGGCAUAAGCCAGCUUGACUGCGAGCGUGACGGCGCGAGCAGGUGCGAAAGCAGGUCAUAGUGAUCCGGUGGUUCUGAAUGGAAGGGCCAUCGCUCAACGGAUAAAAGGUACUCCGGGGAUAACAGGCUGAUACCGCCCAAGAGUUCAUAUCGACGGCGGUGUUUGGCACCUCGAUGUCGGCUCAUCACAUCCUGGGGCUGAAGUAGGUCCCAAGGGUAUGGCUGUUCGCCAUUUAAAGUGGUACGCGAGCUGGGUUUAGAACGUCGUGAGACAGUUCGGUCCCUAUCUGCCGUGGGCGCUGGAGAACUGAGGGGGGCUGCUCCUAGUACGAGAGGACCGGAGUGGACGCAUCACUGGUGUUCGGGUUGUCAUGCCAAUGGCACUGCCCGGUAGCUAAAUGCGGAAGAGAUAAGUGCUGAAAGCAUCUAAGCACGAAACUUGCCCCGAGAUGAGUUCUCCCUGACCCUUUAAGGGUCCUGAAGGAACGUUGAAGACGACGACGUUGAUAGGCCGGGUGUGUAAGCGCAGCGAUGCGUUGAGCUAACCGGUACUAAUGAACCGUGAGGCUUAACC